CAGAGACUGCGAGCGUUAUUCGGAUUCACUGGGCGUAAAGGGUGCGCAGGCGGCCAAGUGUGUGAGGCGUGAAAGCCCGGGGCUUAACCCCGGAAUUGCACCUCAAACUACAUGGCUAGAGCAUUGGAGAGGGUAGCAGAAUUCAUGGUGUAGCAGUGAAAUGCGUAGAUAUCAUGAGGAAUACCAGAGGCGAAGGCGGCUACCUGGACAAUUGCUGACGCUCAGGCACGAAAGCGUGGGGAGCAAAAGGGAUUAGAUACCCCUGUAGUCCACGCCCUAAACGGUGCACACUAGGUCUUGGCGGAUUCGACCCACCAGGGCCCAAGCUAACGCGUUAAGUGUGCCGCCUGAGGACUACGGCCGCAAGGCUA
rnacentral:rRNA from 1 species